GGGUCUGCAGUUCACCCAGGCGUCGCUGCCCCGCACGGGGUGCUAAACCUGCCC
rfam:Desulfovibrio gigas DSM 1382 = ATCC 19364 genome.